GGCGAGAUAGCUCAGUUGGUUAGAGCGCAGGAUUCAUAAUCCUGAGGUCCCGGGAUCGUACCCCGGUCUCGCUACGA
rnacentral:tRNA from 2 species